rnacentral:rRNA from 1 species
GGGUUGUGAGGUUAAGCGACUAAGCGUACACGGUGGAUGCCCUGGCAGUCAGAGGCGAUGAAGGACGUGCUAAUCUGCGAAAAGCGUCGGUAAGGUGAUAUGAACCGUUAUAACCGGCGAUGUCCGAAUGGGGAAACCCAGUGCAAUUCGUUGCACUAUCGUUAACUGAAUACAUAGGUUAACGAGGCGAACCGGGGGAACUGAAACAUCUAAGUACCCCGAGGAAAAGAAAUCAACCGAGAUUCCCCAGUAGCGGCGAGCGAACGGGGAGCAGCCCAGAGUCUGAAUCAGCUUGUGUGUUAGUGGAACGGUCUGGAAAGUCCGACGGUACAGGGUGAUAGUCCCGUACACCAAAAUGCACAGGUUGUGAACUCGAAGAGUAGGGCGGGACACGUGGUAUCCUGUCUGAAUAUGGGGGGACCAUCCUCCAAGGCUAAAUACUCCUGACUGACCGAUAGUGAACCAGUACCGUGAGGGAAAGGCGAAAAGAACCCCGGCGAGGGGUGAAAAGAACCUGAAACCGUGUACGUACAAGCAGUGGGAGCACCUUCGGGUGUGACUGCGUACCUUUUGUAUAAUGGGUCAGCGACUUAUAUUCUGUAGCAAGGUUAACCGUAUAGGGGAGCCGCAGGGAAACCGAGUCUUAACUGGGCGUUAAGUUGCAGGGUAUAGACCCGAAACCCGGUGAUCUAGCCAUGGGCAGGUUGAAGGUUGGGUAACACUAACUGGAGGACCGAACCGACUAAUGUUGAAAAAUUAGCGGAUGACUUGUGGCUGGGGUGAAAGGCCAAUCAAACCGGGAGAUAGCUGGUUCUCCCGAAAGCUAUUUAGGUAGCGCCUCGUGAAUUCAUCUUCGGGGUAGAGCACUGUUUCGGCUAGGGGUCAUCCCGACUUACCAACCCGAUGCAAACUACGAAUACCGAAGAAUGUUAUCACGGGAGACACACGGCGGGUGCUAACGUCCGUCGUGAAGAGGAAACAACCCAGACCGCCAGCUAAGGUCCCAAAGUCAUGGUUAAGUGGGAAACGAUGUGGGAAGGCACAGACAGCCAGGAUGUUGGCUUAGAAGCAGCCAUCAUUUAAAGAAAGCGUAAUAGCUCACUGGUCGAGUCGGCCUGCGCGGAAGAUGUAACGGGGCUAAACCAUGCACCGAAGCUGCGGCAGCGACACUAUGUGUUGUUGGGUAGGGGAGCGUUCUGUAAGCCUGCGAAGGUGACCUGUGAGGGUUGCUGGAGGUAUCAGAAGUGCGAAUGCUGACAUAAGUAACGAUAAAGCGGGUGAAAAGCCCGCUCGCCGGAAGACCAAGGGUUCCUGUCCAACGUUAAUCGGGGCAGGGUGAGUCGACCCCUAAGGCGAGGCCGAAAGGCGUAGUCGAUGGGAAACAGGUUAAUAUUCCUGUACUUGGUGUUACUGCGAAGGGGGGACGGAGAAGGCUAUGUUAGCCGGGCGACGGUUGUCCCGGUUUAAGCAUGUAGGCUGGUUGUCCAGGCAAAUCCGGAUAAUCAAGGCUGAGGUGUGAUGACGAGGCACUACGGUGCUGAAGUAACAAAUGCCCUGCUUCCAGGAAAAGCCUCUAAGCAUCAGGUAACAUCAAAUCGUACCCCAAACCGACACAGGUGGUCAGGUAGAGAAUACCAAGGCGCUUGAGAGAACUCGGGUGAAGGAACUAGGCAAAAUGGUGCCGUAACUUCGGGAGAAGGCACGCUGGUGUGUAGGUGAAGCCCCUGCGGGUGGAGCUGAGACCAGUCGAAGAUACCAGCUGGCUGCAACUGUUUAUUAAAAACACAGCACUGUGCAAACACGAAAGUGGACGUAUACGGUGUGACGCCUGCCCGGUGCCGGAAGGUUAAUUGAUGGGGUUAUCCGUAAGGAGAAGCUCUUGAUCGAAGCCCCGGUAAACGGCGGCCGUAACUAUAACGGUCCUAAGGUAGCGAAAUUCCUUGUCGGGUAAGUUCCGACCUGCACGAAUGGCGUAAUGAUGGCCAGGCUGUCUCCACCCGAGACUCAGUGAAAUUGAACUCGCUGUGAAGAUGCAGUGUACCCGCGGCAAGACGGAAAGACCCCGUGAACCUUUACUAUAGCUUGACACUGAACAUUGAGCCUUGAUGUGUAGGAUAGGUGGGAGGCUUUGAAGCGUGGACGCCAGUCUGCGUGGAGCCAACCUUGAAAUACCACCCUUUAAUGUUUGAUGUUCUAACGUUGGCCCCUGACCGGGGUUGCGGACAGUGUCUGGUGGGUAGUUUGACUGGGGCGGUCUCCUCCCAAAGCGUAACGGAGGAGCACGAAGGUUAGCUAAUCCUGGUCGGACAUCAGGAGGUUAGUGCAAUGGCAUAAGCUAGCUUGACUGCGAGCGUGACGGCGCGAGCAGGUGCGAAAGCAGGUCAUAGUGAUCCGGUGGUUCUGAAUGGAAGGGCCAUCGCUCAACGGAUAAAAGGUACUCCGGGGAUAACAGGCUGAUACCGCCCAAGAGUUCAUAUCGACGGCGGUGUUUGGCACCUCGAUGUCGGCUCAUCACAUCCUGGGGCUGAAGUAGGUCCCAAGGGUAUGGCUGUUCGCCAUUUAAAGUGGUACGCGAGCUGGGUUUAGAACGUCGUGAGACAGUUCGGUCCCUAUCUGCCGUGGGCGCUGGAGAAUUGAGGGGGGCUGCUCCUAGUACGAGAGGACCGGAGUGGACGCAUCACUGGUGUUCGGGUUGUCAUGCCAAUGGCACUGCCCGGUAGCUAAAUGCGGAAGAGAUAAGUGCUGAAAGCAUCUAAGCACGAAACUUGCCCCGAGAUGAGUUCUCCCUGAGACUUUAAGUCUCCUGAAGGAACGUUAAAGACGAUGACGUUGAUAGGCCGGGUGUGUAAGCGCAGCGAUGCGUUGAGCUAACCGGUACUAAUGAACCGUGAGGCUUAACCUUACAACGCCGAAG